CUUAACUGCAGCAUUUCGGCUCCAGAUUAAAUCCACUGAAAAGGUGAUGGGCCAGAGGACAGCCAGCCAGCCGAGAGGGCAAUCACCCCACACGCACGACAACCUGUGUAAGUAAGAUGCACUUGGUUUCUUGUGGGCUGAGGACAAGUCUGUAAAGACAAAGGUCACUCUGAAGAACAGAGUAGAAAUUACACCCACUGAUUCAAAGACUGCAUUCAUAUGGUCAUAAUGCAAAUCCAAUCCCCUAAGAUCUUUGCAGCAUAAGAGUAGAUGAAGAACGUAUCAAAAUGGACUUUCUGCCCACCCUCAAGAUUCACAGUUGAGACAUCUUCCACUGAAGGAGAGAGAUCCAGAUAAACGAGAUCAAUUAAAUGUAAAAGUUAUCACGAUCCACACUGACAGAGGCUAACCACACUUAACACAGCAAAGGAAAUGACCGGUUUCCAGGUCUUAACUGUGGCCAGUAAUGGAGAUGCCCACGGACCCAUCUUUGGAAGUGAAGAGUUAAUAUCAUUUUUCUUCCUCAUUUAUCCACAAGAAAGGACAGAAAAGCAAAAUAUCAAAGGAGCACUGGGAAUGACUUCACUAAUCGUGAGGACCCUUUGGGCAAUAGAGCCUCAGAAGUAUACUUUAGUCAAAAAGACCAUUAGACUGUAACUUUAUUUACCCACUACAUAGAACAGGGCAAUGGGUACCAAGAGGGUUUCUUUGAACACAAAGCAACAAGAGCAUAUUCUCCAAAUAGAAGACAGGUGGCUUGUUAUCCAUUACCCAACU